GAUACUGAGGCUAUUGCUUUUUUUUUUUUUUGUUUUUGUUUUUGUUUCAGGGCCUGUACGUUGCUGCACCGUCAUGAACAAGCUCCACAAUCAAGUCCUUAAAAAUUAAUCGCUCAAUAUCUAUCACUAAAGCAGGAGCUGUGACCUACUAGGAUUAAGUCCCAAGUGCUUUUUCAAGAGUGGCCGUGGUCGAAUUAGUUUCUCAGAUAGAAUUUCAUUGACUGCAUCAAACAAUAGUCUUCUCGUACGCCUUUCAUUGGCCCUUGUUAUUCUGUCUGCUUUAUUGUUGGAUAUCUUAUUUGAAAGAAAGCUUCUUCCUUUGGUUUCCUCCAGCUCAAAGAACAAAUUUGGGUCGAUUGCUUCUUCUGACUGGUGCACGAGAUGAUCAGCCAUUGUGUAUCUAAAAUGAUCUGGGAAUCCUGAUGCUAAGAAUAAUUCGGACACAUAUGACUUCUCCAGAUUUGUGUCCUUGUAUAGAGGUGUGGUGUUACUUAUGUUUCCAUGUUGAUAAGAAUUCAAUUUCCAUAUAGCUGGAUCUGAGUCUUUGAUAUUUUCUAGUUUCUGAUAAUCAUUCUCAUAGCUAAAUCCUGGUCUAACGUUGUAAGGGGAAUAAGUUGGAUUACUUUCCCUCCAUUCUGCCAUAGUGCAUGUUGCAUUGGUCUCAAAACCUGCAUGAAAUCCCAGAUAAAAGCAUUUGAUCAGUUUUUUUCUUGAGCGUUUUGCUUCAAUAUCAGUAUUAUAUACAUGAAAAUAACCAUGUUCCAUUACGCUGAAUCACAAAAAUGUAAAUUCUUAUCAAGCUGAGAAUGCACAGUUGCAUACUAUGUGUUUUUCUCUUUUACUAUGCUCCUUCCUUGAGCCCUAUUAUUGAUCUCUACAUCGAUAUAAUUCAAAUUCUCUACUUCUCAUUUGGGAAGUUGAUCGCUCGUUAAUUUUAUUUGUACUAAGGCAAUGUUGACUUCGACGGCUUUUUUUAGAAACCAUGUGUCAAUUUAAUGCAUGAUAACUGGUGAGUUGGAAAGAGAACUCUAUAAUCGUUUUGAAUUGACAUUUUGGAACUAAUAGACUCUUAAAGAGUCUAGAGUAGGAUGGAUAAUCAUGAACGGGGUAGAAGACUAAAAGCUAUAUAGAAUUUGGGCGUCUCUUUCGUGUCUAAGCGUAAUAAGCCUUACAUGUUAUUGCAAAUGGGUUUAUUUACUUUAAUAUAUACAGUAUCCUGGUCACCAGCAUUUUUUUGGUUUUUCGCCUCAUGCCUCUUUCUCUGCCACUACUGAGCAGAAUAGCAAACCAAAAGUACUACUGCCAUAGCAAUAUUUCAUUUCCAGUCAUGUUAAUAACAUGUAUGUUUUUGCACAUAAAUCAUAGACCAUUUCUUGGGGUGGUAAUGCACUUUGCUAUUGACUUUAUGAAUUGUUUUGAUCUUUACCUCUGAAUGCUGUUGGUCUUGUCUUUACUGGAGAUGGACAUUCAUCUUCGUAGAAACUUGCAUCAAGAACUGAAACUGGGCUUGGUUGCUCCCUUACAGUUAUUGCUAGUUCUUCAAAUGCCAUAGCUUCUUGAAUUCCUUCUGGAUCCUGAUAAUCAAACACCAGUUUAGUGAAGGUGCAUUCAUGAGAGUUUACAUGAGUUGAUGAAAUAGAUAAAAGUCCGUAAUCGAUGGAAAGACAAGAAAACUUACUUUGUUGUAGCUCACUUGCUGCAGGGUAUCAUUUUUCAUGCACGAUUUAUCAGCAUAUUUAGUUACUCUGUUUAUGUGUGUGAUCGUGCUAUUGUUGCUUUGGGAUAACAACAAAUUUGUGUUUCCUUGUUUAUUCUGGCAUGCUAACUUAUCACUGAACUCACUGGAUCGGUCAUCGCUGUCCCGAAAAAGAGAUGAAUUUUGCGUUAGCUUCUGAUUUCGAGAAAGGAAGCCCAUAUCUCGCUGGCUUUGCUCUACUCUGGAACCUGAUGUUGUUGCAGGCGGGCUUCCAGUAUCUGAGAUCCUUACUGAGCUUGUCACAUUUGCUUUGAUCUCUGAUGCUUUUGAAGUUCUUAUUGACCUUGGAGUUCUUUCUCCAGAAUACUUGUUCAUGAUGUGAUGAGUUUCUUUCAGAUCUUUUGCAGUUUUCUUCUGUACUAAAUCCUUGGUGUCAUUUACAGGCUGAACAAUCCUGAGUCGCUGAAGGCUCGUUCGAGGUAUAUCUUGUACAACUUGAGUUGGUUCUUUUCUUGAACAUUUGACAAGUUUAGUUGGCUUUAUUUCUUUAGUUGAUUUCACGUCUUUGACAGACCUGAGCUCUUUACUUGUUGGUGGAGUAGCCUUUUCUGGAUCCAGUUUUUGGCUGAUAUCAACGGAGUUGCUAUUGCUCGUCUGAGAUGCACAAUGUGAAGACUGGUUUUCCUUUCUGAAUUCCUGCCUAUUUUUCUCCUUGUGCAUUGAUUCAAGUAUAUGUUUUAGAGCCCUAAGAUCCUUCCCCGAUUUUUGGAAAUUAAGAUCAGCCAACCUUUUCUCAAUCGCACCAUAGACAGUGAGAGGAGAGUCAUCUGGUUCUAAAUGAGCUUCCUGGUAUACGGAAGCUGUUUGUCCUGACUUGGCUUUGUUUGAUCGUGAAGCUCUAGAUUCCUUGCAGUUACUUCUCGGGGAGUGUAGAGCACGAUCCACUUUGCUUUCAUCGAUGGUUCUUGAAGAUCUCGAGAACAAAUCAGAACUUCGGAAAGUGCUGGAGCCAUCUUGCUCUAUCUGACUUUUGGGGGGUAUAUAAUCUGGUAGAGCUUCUAGUCCCAUCAGCUUUGCCACAAUGUUAGACGGUGCCCUGUAACUUGCUGGCUCCUGUGGUAUGGAUUCUUUUGACUCAUGGGUAGAUACUUUUAGCUUUUGUUGUUUACUGUCUAGUGAUAGCCUUGGGAGGUCUUUAAGCUUCAAGUUAGAAAUGUAGCUGUUUCCUGUUUCCCUGCCAUCAUAAGACAAUCGAGCAGGAUCCUUUUUUCUGGGGGUCACAGCGGGUGAAGCGUGGUUGGAACUAGUUGAGCGAAAUGACUCAUUGAGAGCAGCAAGUCGCGGGCUAUCUGGUCUGUACAUUUGUGAAAGUCUUGGGGAAUCCAUAUGCUUCAGGUCAUUUUUCACCACUUCUCUUGAUGUAGUCUUUAUCGGUGAUGCACAGGUGGCAUUCAGCUCUUCUCUGCUAGUUUGCUUUUUGUGGAAGGAGUGGCUUGUUUUUGCUGGUGAGCUUGGUUGUUGUGGCGAAGAAUGUGGGUCAUUUAGCUGGUUAUCCCAAGAACGUCUUUCUCUGCCAAUGUUUUUAGCAUGUGGUGAUUGUUCAAGCUUCAUGGUCCAAUCAUACUCUGAUGAUGCUAUGGUUGUUGAACCACAGGAUGAAAUGGAGAGUCUGGAUGGUUCUAGGGGGCUAACUUGUAUAUCAUCUGUUACAUUUCGACGUCUCUCCUGCAAAAGAAAGCAAUCACGUUAAGCGGUUAAGGGGCAGGAAAACUGCAAAUUUAAGACAUCAGGUCAUGCGGUACGGUGCAAGUAUUCAUGAUCAGAACGCCAACAAUUAUUAGGAUAUUUUUUUUUAAGAUUCCAAUCAUAGGAAAUAAAAGGGGAAAAGAAUGUCAAUUACCAUUAAUCCCAUUAUCAACAAAGUUGUAAAGGAAAACAUUUAAACGUACUGGCUACUAGGGACGCUCAACUUUUUCUUAUCUAUUAUGAUGAUUACAUAUAGUUUAAUGGAGUAUAUAACAAUUUGAUAGCUAGAAACGUAAA